CGGAAGGGUGAGUAAGGCGACGGUAAUCAACCCCAUGGUUGGGUAUAGCCGCGGGAAACUGCGGGUAAUCCCCAGCGACGUCCGGAUCGGGCAUCCGAAUCGGACCAAAGUCCUGGCGCCGUGGGACGAGCCGUCGUGGUAUUAGGUCGUUGGCGGGGUAAUGGCCCACCAAGCCUAUGAUGCCUACCGGGCGUGCGAGCGUGGCCCGGCACACUGGGACUGAGACACUGCCCAGACUCCUACGGGAGGCUGCAGUCGAGAAUCUUCGGCAAUGGGCGCAAGCCUGACCGAGCGACGCCGCGUGGAGGAUGAAGGCCUUCGGGUUGUAAACUCCUGUCGAGGGGGAAGAAGGUCGGGUAACCGGCUUGACCGAUCCCUGGAGGAAGCACGGGCUAAGUUCGUG
rnacentral:rRNA from 1 species